CGAAACGGGUCGUGGCGGCGUGCGCUGCGUUUGGUGUCGAGCGUAAUCUCUCCGACAGCGCAGUUUUCACCAACGCCAUCUUCCUCGUCGUCGUCAUAUUCCUCGUGGCCGUCGUAGUAGGUGCCACUUAUGGUGUCAUCACCAUUGGCAUCGCCGCCGUAGGUAUCGUCGGCAGCGCCGUUGACAUCGGUCUGGGUAGAUGUAAAGCCGUCGUCGUCGUGGUCGCCGUCGGUAGUGUCUGCGCCACCAUCGCAACCGCCACGGCCAUCGCAAAUGUUGACGAUGUCUCGGACCGUCUCAUCGUCCCCGCUAUUGUCGCCUGGUGUCUUGAGGGGAACAUGAGGCAAAGGAGGAGGCAACGGAGCGUGGCAGCGCGCGGCUGCCGUGCGUUUCUCAAACGAGUCGACAAGAGACAUCAACGCGUGCGCAUCGAGCAACGGCCCCUCUGUUGUACCUCCCACGUCGACCCUGUAAUCGGCAUCGUCGUCGCUGCCCAGUGAUUCGCCGUCGUCGCUGUCGUCAUAGCCCGUAUCCUCCUGGACGAUGGUGCGCGGCAUCACGCCGAGACUGGCCACAGCACGCGCGUCACAGGCGUCCUUGUCGUCGUAGGAUUCGUAGUCGUCAUAGCAAGCCCCGCCCGCGCCUCCAUACUCGAUGUCCAGCAGCUGCAUCGCCCGAUCCAUAUCAUCGUCAAGGCGCUUUGCAGCGACGGGAUCGAUCCACGCCUCCAUGUCGUCCGGUAUGCGUAUGGAGUUGACGCGCGGCGUUGCCACGUACGCCGCUGGGACGCCAAGGCCCUGGGAGGUCCACACAUGGGGGUCGUCCAGGUGUACGCGCACCAUGGGCCACUUUGCGUGGUGCGAAUCGUCAAGGUGCGCACCCACCACACGGGCGCAACCGUCGCAGACAAAGUCGUGGGUUCCAUCGGGCAGCGCGCCGUGCAGUGACCAAUCGGGCCGGAGCGUACAUGCCCCAUAUAGCUGCGCGUCCGCCCCGGAUGUUGGACGGCUCCUAUAACAGCACCGUGCGUCUGUGUGAGUGCGCCCGUCUGUUGCGUUGCCAUCUGUAGUCGCCCUGGCGCGCACGCGUGCGUCGGCCUGUUUCAGACGCCAUUCGACCGCCGAGUCGCCCCAGCCAAAGGAAAUGGCCUCCCAUGCGUCAACAAAGCCGUCCAUCGACGCGCGCGCCGCCAUCUGGUCGGCGUGCAUGCGCUCCCUUUUCGCCGCGCCGUAAAUGGCGUGCAUGAAAGAGCACGUAGCGCCGGCGGCUGCCACGUCCGCAUGGCGAUCCAGUUGCGCCAAGACCAAACAGAGGGCCUCUGGGGGCAAGUCUAGCAGAGUCGUCAUGGCGCGGGCGCGCCGGUUCUUUCGUCGGUCCGGUUCGUCGGUCCACGUGUCGUGCCUCAAUUCCUGCCAAAGGAAAAUCGUGACAGCAAUGCAAAGGCAAUGCAAAAGGAGGGUGAACAAAAGGAACAAGAGGCAGCGCAUAAAAAACGCGCACGCACUAUCCUUGGGCACGCACAAACGACAGG
rnacentral:lncRNA from 1 species